rnacentral:piRNA from 1 species
UGACAAAUCACCAUGACCUACCCGGAGC